CACGCCGUAAACGAUGAAUACUAGGUGUUGGGAAGCAUUGCUUCUCGGUGCCGUCGCAAACGCAGUAAGUAUUCCACCUGGGGAGUACGUUCGCAAGAAUGAAACUCAAAGGAAUUGACG
rnacentral:rRNA from 1 species